rnacentral:rRNA from 1 species
AUUGAACGCUGGCGGCAGGCCUAACACAUGCAAGUCGAGCGAAGCGGCGGAUGGGUGAGUCACGCGUGGGUAACCGGCCCUUAUGUCUGGGAUACCAUUUGGAAACAGAUGCUAAUACCGCAUCCUAAAGCAUGAACUUGCGAUGCAUAAGAUAGUUGGUAAGGUAACGGCUUACAAAGGCGAUGAUGCAUAGCCGAUUUGAGAGGCUGAUCGGCCACACUGGGACUGAGACACGGCCCAGACUCCUACGGGAGGCAGCAGUAGUGAAUCUUCCACAAUGGACGAAAGUCUGAUGGAGCAACGCCGCGUGAGUGAAGAAGGUUUUCGGAUCGUAAAGCUCUGUUGUUAGGGAAGUGGUAAUCAACCAGAAAGGCACGGCUAACUACGUGCCAGCAGCCGCGGUAAUUC